AUCCCUAAUAUCAUUUUCUCUCCUAAGAAAAAAAAAGGUAAAAAUAUUUAGGAGGAAGGGGAAAAAAUAUACUACGCUACAAAACAAUAUUUAUUUUGGAUAAAAGGCUAUGAAAUAGAAGGUAAACCAAAUUAACAUAGCUUAUCAAUACAAUCUGAUGCAAUUCAACAAUGGUGAAGCAACAAGGACCUAGUUUUGAGAUUUCAUUUUAUUUAAUAUUGACAAACUAGAUUCCCAUUCACACAUCAUAAACCAUGGGAACCCAGAGCUUUCACCCUUUUAGUGUCAUCUAUUUCCUAGGGAUGGGACUCAUUGAGAUGGAAAGGCAAAUAUAUACAUACAUGCAUGCAUACAUGAGAAGAAAAGAGGUAUCUGAUCUUGAAUAAACCACAAUAAACCUGCACAUGAAAUGAGUAUUGAUAACAAGCUGGCUAAGGGAGGGAGUGGAAUUUUGAUAUACAAAUGAGUGUACACAAAUAAAAUGCUAGCAAAAGCACAUUUACCUAUACUACUCACCUGGCAAUCAAGCCCUCUGAGGA
rnacentral:misc_RNA from 1 species